UUUUUUUGAGAAGGAAGGAGAAAAAGAAAAAGAGGAAGAGAAAGGAAGACACAGCGAGAGAGAUUAGAUAAGGAGCAAAAUUAAGAUACCAAUCUGUUCUGUCCACCACUGAAAGAAUGUGAAGAUCACACACACACACACACACACACACACACACACACACACACACACACACACACACACAUUCAUACUCUGGCUUUUUUAAUGAGAUUAAAGAUUUUUUUUGAAACUCGCAAUUUUGGAAGCUUCAUAGAGUGACCCCUUUAAAUCAAACCAACAAGCAUUUUUGAUAUGCCUGCCUUGUGCCAACAAGCAUUAGAAAUCUAAAGAAAGGCAAAACAAAAAACAGUCCUUGUUGUCAAGAAGCAUAAUGUCUAACAGAGGAGAUGAUAUGCAAAUAACUAUGAACAAAUUAGUUACAUUACAUGCAGGAUAAUUUGCAAAUAAUCUCAGAAAGGAGGCACUAGGAUUAAGGAGUACCAAAUUAUGGUUCUUUCAAAAGGCAGAACUUGAACUGGGACUUCAAGGAAGCCAAGAAGUGCAGAUGAAGAGGAAAUGAUUUCCAGGCAUGGGAGACGAGCUAGUGGAAAUGUCUGAAAUUGGAGAUGGAGUAUUUUCCCCCCUAUGCUAAGAGCCAACUUUGAGAUCCUGGGACCCUGGCUACACCAACAACAGAACACCCCAGAUUCCAGACACACUCCUUGAAGUCCUAUUCCCUGGCCCCAGUCAGCAGUGAGACCUGGAAGUCUUCAAGUAGCACCUGGCCUUUCAAGCCGGCACUGUAGCCCCAAGGCAAAACAGCUUGGAGUGCUGAGAUGUGUAAACCAUCAGCAGAGGAGAUAGAAUCAUCAGCUUUUAGGACUCCAGGUCACAGGCAAAAAAAAGGCUGGGAAAAUGUGCAAACAACAAAAGAAACACCUAAUCCUAGAAAAUUUAUAUGGAGACAAAGAGCAAAGCACAGAAUCAACAGGGGAUGGUGAGAUCCAAGCAACCACAUGCAAAA